GUCGAGAAUCUUUCACAAUGGGGGCAACCCUGAUGGAGCGACGCCGCGUGGAGGAUAAGGUCUUCGGAUUGUAAACUCCUGUCAUGCGUGAACAAGGUUGCUUGGUUAAUACCUGGGCAAAUUGAUGGUAACGCAAGAGGAAGAGACGGCUAACUCUGUGCCAGCAGCCGCGGUAAUACAGAGGUCUCAAGCGUUGUUCGGAAUCACUGGGCGUAAAGGGUGCGUAGGUGGCGUGGUAAGUCAGAUGUGAAAGCCCGGGGCUCAACCUCGGAACUGCAUCCGAUACUGCCAUGCUAGAGUACUGGAGAGGUGACUAGAAUUCUCGGUGUAGCAGUGAAAUGCGUAGAUAUCGAGAGGAAUACCAAAGGCGUUGGCAGGUCACUGGACAGUUACUGACACUGAGGCACGAAGGCCAGGGGAGCGAACGGGAUUAGAAACCCUAGUAGUCC
rnacentral:rRNA from 1 species